GACGAACGCUGGCGGCGUGCUUAACACAUGCAAGUCGAACGGAAAGGCCCCGUUGGGGUUACUCGAGUGGCGAACGGGUGAGUAACACGUGAGUAACCUGCCCUUGACUUCGGGAGAACUUCCGGCAACUGGGGCUAAUACCUGAUAGGAAUCCUUUCUUCAUGGUGGGGGUUGGAAAGCUUCGGCGGGUUUGGAUGGACUCGCGGCUUAUCAGCUUGUUGGUGGGGUAGUGGCUUACCAAGGCUUUGACGGGUAGCCGGCCUGAGAGGGCGACCGGCCACAUUGGGACUGAGAUACGGCCCAGACUCCUACGGGAGGCAGCAGUGGGGAAUAUUGCACAAUGGGCGGAAGCCUGAUGCAGCAACGCCGCGGGCGGGAGGACGGCCUUCGGGUUGUAAAACGCUUUCAGCAGGGGCGAAGCUUGUGGUGACGGUACCUGCAGAAGAAGCACCGGCUAACUACGUG
rnacentral:rRNA from 1 species